UACAGAGACUGCAAGCGUUAUUCGGAUUCACUGGGCGUAAAGGGUGCGCAGGCGGCCGUGUGUGUCAGGUGUGAAAGCCCGGAGCUUAACUCCGGAAUUGCGCCUGAAACUACAUGGCUAGAGCAUUGGAGAGGGAAGUGGAAUUCACGGUGUAGCAGUGAAAUGCGUAGAUAUCGUGAGGAACACCAGAGGCGAAGGCGGUCUGCUGGGCAGUUUCUGACACUGAGGCGCGACAGCGUGGGGAGCAAACAGG
rnacentral:rRNA from 1 species